rnacentral:rRNA from 1 species
UACGUAGGGACCGAGCGUUGUCCGGAAUCAUUGGGCGUAAAGAGCGUGUAGGCGGCUUGUUGCGUCGACUGUGAAAACCCGCAGCUUAACUGCGGGCCUGCAGUUGAUACGGGCAGGCUAGAGUUCGGUAGGGGAGACUGGAAUUCCUGGUGUAGCGGUGAAAUGCGCAGAUAUCAGGAGGAACACCGGUGGCGAAGGCAGGUCUCUGGGCAUUAACUGACGCUGAGGAGCGAAAGCGUGGGGAGCGAACAGG